UACGAAGGGUGCAAACGUUGCUCGGAAUUAUUGGGCGUAAAGCGCACGUAGGCGGCAUUGCAAGUCGGAUGUGAAAUCCCUCGGCUUAACCAAGGAAGUGCAUCCGAAACUGCAGUGCUUGAGUACUUAAGAGGAUCGCGGAAUUCCCGGUGUAGAGGUGAAAUUCGUAGAUAUCGGGAGGAACACCAGUGGCGAAGGCGGCGAUCUGGGAAGAUACUGACGCUGAGGUGCGAAAGCCAGGGGAGCAAACGGG
rnacentral:rRNA from 1 species